rnacentral:lncRNA from 1 species
AUGCUAUCCUUUUUCACUUGGAAUGAUACUGAGCCUCGCCUUCGACUCGGUGUACAUUUCAAUCAAUGCCUCGUUUCAUUCUGUUUGUUUGUUUGUUUGUCAGAGCUCUUUGUGAACAUGGAGACAGAUUUGUGGACCGGUGAAGAGGCAGAAUGGACUGAUCGGAGAUCAAGUUUAUUUUCAGCAACAGACACUCAUGUAGUUCAGAGAACUGAAGAGACAGCUGCGAACACUGUGCAGCAACCAACAAUACAAGACCAAAGAUGUUUGUUGGAGGAGCUCGCUCGUAUAGAACAGGACCUGAAAGAAAGCAUCCAAAGAGAGGAGCAGAGGCAACAAGAGCAGGACCAAGUAAGGCAAGAAGAGAAUCGCAUUUGCUGGAGAAGCCUGUCAUUCCUCCGACUGAACCAGCGUACAGCAAAGUAUGACCUUGUGUUUACUUCAUCUCAUGCCUGAUAUAAACGUCAGAAACUUCCAUGUCAAACAUAAGAUGUGGGUGAUGCAGUGGGUAGGUAGGUAGCUGGUUCAAGCCUCAGCUGGUAUUUCAGUGUGGAGUUUGCAUGUUCUCUCUGCGUACGCGUGUUUCCUCCGGGUGCUCCGGUUUCCCCCACAGUCCAAACACAUGCGGUACAGGUGAAUUGGGUAGGCCAAAUUGUCCGGAGUGUAUGAGUGUGAAUGAGUGUGUGUGUGGAUGUUUCCCAGAGAUGGGUUGCAGCUGGAAGGGCAAGCGUUGUGUAAAAGCAUGCUGGAUAAGUUGGCGGUUCAUUCCACUGUGGCGACCCCAGAUUAAUAAAGAGACUAAGCCGAAAAGAAAACACUAUGGUCAAUUUAGCCUACCCAACUCACCUGUACCACAUGUGUUUGGACUGUGGGGGAAACCGGAGCACCAGGAGGAAACCCACGCGAAGGCAGGGAGAACAUGCAAACUCCACACAGAAACGCCAACUGAGCCGAGGUUCGAAUCAGCGACCCAGUGACCUUCUUGCUGUGAGGCGACAGCACUACCUACUGC